CCGACACAGGUGGAUGAGGAGAGAAUCCUAAGGCCGACGGAAGAAGCAUUGUUAAGGAACUCGGCAAAAUGACCCCGUAACUUCGGGAGAAGGGGUGCCUACGAAUGUAGGCCGCAGAGAAUUGGCCCAAGCAACUGUUUAGCAAAAACACAGGUUUAUGCGAAACCGAAAGGUGAAGUAUAUGAGCUGACGCCUGCCCGGUGCUGGAAGGUUAAGGGGAGAGCUUAGAGGCAACUCGAAGGUUCGAACUUAAGCCCCAGUAAACGGCGGCCGUAACUAUAACGGUCCUAAGGUAGCGAAAUUCCUUGUCGGGUAAGUUCCGACCCGCACGAAAGGCGUAAUGAUUUGGGCACUGUCUCGACAAUGCAUCCGGUGAAAUUGAAAUACCAGUGAAGAUGCUGGUUACCCGCGCCAGGACGGAAAGACCCCAUGGAGCUUUACUCCAGUUUGAUGCUGGGAUUCGGUACUGCAUGUACAGGAUAGGCGGGAGACUAGGAAGAUAUAACGCCAGUUGUAUCAGAGUCGCUGUUGGGAUACCACCCUUGUAGUACUGGGUUUCUAACCUGCCACCGUGAACCGGUGGAGGGACAACGUCAGGCGGGGAGUUUGACUGGGGCGGUCGCCUCCGAAAGGGUAUCGGAGGCGCUCAAAGGUUCCCUCAGAAUGGUUGGAAACCAUUCGAAGAGUGCAAAGGCAGAAGGGAGCUUGACUGCGAGGUCGACGGACCGAGCAGGUACGAAAGUAGGACUUAGUGAUCCGGUGGUAGAAAGUGGGAUUGCCAUCGCUCAACGGAUAAAAGCUACCCUGGGGAUAACAGGCUUAUCACUCCCAAGAGUUCACAUCGACGGAGUGGUUUGGCACCUCGAUGUCGGCUCAUCGCAUCCUGGGGCUGUAGCAGGUCCCAAGGGUUGGGCUGUUCGCCCAUUAAAGCGGUACGCGAGCUGGGUUCAGAACGUCGUGAGACAGUUCGGUCCCUAUCCGGCGCGGGCGUAGGAUAUCUGAGAGGAGCUGGCCUUAGUACGAGAGGACCGGGCUGGACGGACCGCUGGUGUAUCUGUUGUCAUACCAAUGGCAUAGCAGGGUAGCCAAGUCUGGAAGGGAUAAACGCUGAAGGCAUCUAAGCGUGAAGCCCCCCUUAAGAUAAGAUAUCCCUGGAGUUAAUCCAGUAAGACCCCUUGAAGACGACGAGGUAGAUAGGGCAGAGGUGGAAGUGUGGUAACACAUGGAGCUGACUGUCACUAAUAGGUCGAGGGCUUGACCAA
rnacentral:rRNA from 1 species